GAUGAACGCUGGCGGCGCGCCUAAUACAUGCAAGUCGAGCGAAUGGAUUAAGAGCUUGCUCUUAUGAAGUUAGCGGCGGACGGGUGAGUAACACGUGGGUAACCUGCCCAUAAGACUGGGAUAACUCCGGGAAACCGGGGCUAAUACCGGAUAACAUUUUGAACCGCAUGGUUCGAAAUUGAAAGGCGGCUUCGGCUGUCACUUAUGGAUGGACGCGCGUCGCAUUAGCUAGUUGGUGAGGUAACGGCUCACCAAGGCAACGAUGCGUAGCCGACCUGAGAGGGUGAGCGGGCAGCCUGGGACGGAGACACGGCCCAGACUCCUACGGGAGGCAGCAGUAGGGAAUCUUCCGCAAUGGACGAAAGUCUGACGGAGCAACGCCGCGUGAGUGAUGCAGGCUUUCGGGUCGUAAAACUCUGUUGUUAGGGAAGAACAAGUGCUAGUUGAAUAAGCUGGCACCUUGACGGUACCUAACCAGAAAGCCACGGCUAGCUACGUGCCAGCCGCCGCGGUAA
rnacentral:rRNA from 1 species